ensembl:rRNA 5S_rRNA 5S ribosomal RNA
CAAUACCACCCUGAACGCGCCCGAUCUCAUCUGAUCUCGGAAGCUAAGCAGGGUCGGGCCUGGUUAGUACUUGGAUGGGAGACAUCUAUUUUUUUAAAAGUUAGGUUAAUUUGU